UGCCUAACACAUGCAAGUCGAACGAGAAACUUCUAAUUAGUUUACUAAGAAGUUGUUUCUAGUGGCGGAAGGGUGAGUAACGCGUGGGCAAUCUGCCCUGUGGAAAGGGAUAGCCUCGGGAAACCGGGAUUAAUACCUUAUGAUAUUAUCGCUACGCAUGUAGUGAUAAUCAAAGAUUCAUCGCCACAGGAUGAGCCCGCGUCCCAUUAGCUAGUUGGUGAGAUAAUAGCCCACCAAGGCGACGAUGGGUAGCCGACCUGAGAGGGUGAACGGCCACACUGGGACUGAGACACGGCCCAGACUCCUACGGGAGGCAGCAGUGGGGAAUAUUGCGCAAUGGGGGCAACCCUGACGCAGCAACGCCGCGUGAGUGAAGAAGGUUUUCGGAUCGUAAAACUCUGUCUUUGGGGAAGAAUAAAUGACGGUACCCAAGGAGGAAGCCCCCGGCUAACUACGUGCCAGCAGCCGCGGUAAUACGUAGGGGGCAAGCGUUGUCCGGAAUUAUUGGGCGUAA
rnacentral:rRNA from 1 species